UACGGAGGGGGCAAGCGUUGUUCGGAAUCACUGGGCGUAAAGCGCGAGUAGGCGGCCUCUUAAGUCUGGUGUGAAAGCCCGGGGCUCACCCCCGGAAGGGCACUGGAUACUGGGAGGCUAGAGUACCGGAGAGGAGGGUGGAAUUCCUGGUGUAGCGGUGAAAUGCGUAGAUAUCAGGAGGAACACCGGUGGCGAAGGCGGCCCUCUGGACGGCUACUGACGCUGGGACGCGAAAGCGUGGGGAGCAAACAGG
rnacentral:rRNA from 1 species